rnacentral:rRNA from 1 species
GAUGAACGCUGACAGAAUGCUUAACACAUGCAAGUCGACUCGAGUCUUCGGACUUGGGUGGCGGACGGGUGAGUAACGCGUAAAGAACUUGCCUCAUAGUCUGGGACAACAUUUGGAAAUGGAUGCUAAUACCGGAUAUUAUACUUUCUUCGCAUGGAGGAAGUAUGAAAGCUAUAUGCGCUAUGAGAGAGCUUUGCGUCCCAUUAGCUAGUUGGUGAGGUAACGGCCCACCAAGGCGAUGAUGGGUAGCCGGCCUGAGAGGGUGAACGGCCACAAGGGGACUGAGACACGGCCCUUACUCCUACGGGAGGCAGCAGUGGGGAAUAUUGGACAAUGGACCAAAAGUCUGAUCCAGCAAUUCUGUGUGCACGAUGACGUUUUUCGGAAUGUAAAGUGCUUUCAGUCGGGAAGAAGCAAGUGACGGUACCGACAGAAGAAGCGACGGCUAAAUACGUGCCAGCAGCCGCGGUAAUACGUAUGUCGCAAGCGUUAUCCGGAUUUAUUGGGCGUAAAGCGCGUCUAGGCGGCAAGGAAAGUCUGAUGUGAAAAUGCGGGGCUCAACUCCGUAUUGCGUUGGAAACUGCCUUACUAGAGUACUGGAGAGGUAGGCGGAACUACAAGUGUAGAGGUGAAAUUCGUAGAUAUUUGUAGGAAUGCCGAUGGGGAAGCCAGCCUACUGGACAGAUACUGACGCUAAAGCGCGAAAGCGUGGGUAGCAGACAGG